rnacentral:rRNA from 1 species
CCUACGGGAGGCAGCAGUGAGGAAUAUUGGUCAAUGGGCGGAAGCCUGAACCAGCCAAGUAGCGUGCGGGAUGAAGGCCCUACGGGUCGUAAACCGCUUUUGCACGGGGAUAACACCCUCCACUUGUGGAGGUCUGCAGGUACCGUGCGAAUAAGGGCCGGCUCAUUCCGUGCCAGCAGCCGCGGUAAUACGGAAGGCCCGGGCGUUAUCCGGAUUCAUUGGGCUUAAAGGGAGCGUAGGCGGGCGUUAAAGUCAGCCGUAAAAGCCCGGGGCUCAACCGCGCCCUGCAGUUGAAACUGGACGGCUUGAGUUCACAACAGGCAGGCGGAAUUCGUGGUGUAGCGGUGAAAUGCAUAGAGAUCACGAGGAACCCCGAUUGCGAAGGCAGCCUGCGGGAGUGCGACUGACGCUGAGGCUCGAAGGUGCGGGUAUCAAACAGGAUUAGAUACCCGUGUAGUC